rnacentral:lncRNA from 1 species
CAGCAGAGUUGUUUGCCAAAGAGUGACUAUCAAGGCCUUCACUAAUGUUCUAAGGAGGGCACAAUGUUCCACUCCCAAAACAAUGUAACCCAGUGGUUUUCAGCAAGGAAACUGCUAAAUUUCCCAAAGGAUUCCUUACUGUUAGUAAGACUUCUGAAAAUUAACUAGUGAGAAUAAAUGCCACGAAAUCUAACAUUAGUACUCUGAACUGAAUUUGCUUAUGCCGGACCUCUAAACAAUAAAUUGUGUUCUGCUGUGUUGCUAUGCCCGUUCAUGAGGCAUAGCCAUUUUAAAGUAAAGCAUCUUGGAGAUUCCAAAAGAGCAGAAUGGGGAAGGGGUGUACUGCUUUAGGCUAGGGGAAAACAGCAAAAAAAAAAGUGGAUGAAGUAUAUUCUUAGGGGAGACUUGGAGAGCAAACUACAGGAAGUGCUGAGGAAGGAAGAAGGACACCGUGGAUCAUGGUGGAAGGCCCACGUGGACGCAAAGCAGCAAGCACAGACACAGCACAUGACCCAGGAGCCGAGAGCAGGAGACUGCACCAGCUUUGGAGACUGUCGGACACAUUGCUGGGGAAAGCCAGACAUGAGCCUCCUUCAGCACCGGACACAGCCUAGGAUCCUGCUGGGCUCAGGACCUCCCCUCCCAUCUCUAGUCCCACGAGGAAUGUUUGUUCCCGUUCUCUGCUGGGGGAGUUUUUUCAUGGCGGGGCCUCAUCCUCGACGAAGCUGUGGGACUCAGAGCCAGGCUCUGUGUGGCCCGACGAUCCUGCUGACCCUGGCCUCCUGCAGACCAUGGGCCGCCAUACCCCUGGCCGCAUUUCCAGCUUUUCAAGUGGGAAGAAACCACCCCGUGUCCCAGGACUUGCACUUCUGUGGGCCAUCCUCAGCAAGGUUCGGAGUCAGUGGGGGUGGGCAGCGGCUCAGCCAUGAAGAAGCCGAGAAGCGAUGUCUGCCUCCCCUCCUCCCUCCCAGAAGAUCUGGAUGUGAAACUAACCCAGAGUGGACGCUGAAGCUCAGCUGCCAAGUAAUCUCCCAUUCCCGGAGAGACUGCACAGCUUCCUGCUCAAUGCCAGCUGGGCCUUCAUCCUGGAGAGGAGCAACUGGUUCUACGGGACUUCACCAUGCUGCUGCUCAUGGUGGGCAACCUGAUCAACAUCCCUAG